UACAGAGGUCCCAAGCGUUGUUCGGAUUCACUGGGCGUAAAGGGUGCGUAGGUGGUGAGGUAAGUCGGAUGUGAAAGCUCGGAGCUCAACUCCGAAAUGGCAUUGGAAACUACCUUGCUCGAGGGUUGGAGGGGGGACUGGAAUACUUGGUGUAGCAGUGAAAUGCGUAGAUAUCAAGUGGAACACCAGUAGCGAAGGCGGCUCGCUGGGCCACACCUGACGCUGAGACGCGAAAGCUAGGGGAGCGAACAGG
rnacentral:rRNA from 1 species